AGCCAUGCGAGUCGACAUAGCGAUAUGAGGCAUACGGCUCAGUAACACGUAGUCAACAUGCCCAGGGGACGUGGAUAACCUCGGGAAACUGAGGAUAAACCGCGAUAGGUCAUCACUUCUGGAAUGGGUAAUGACUUAAACCUAUAUGGCCCCUGGAUUGGACUGCGGCCGAUCAGGCUGUUGGUGAGGUAAUGGCCCACCAAACCUGUAACCGGUACGGGCUCUGAGAGGAGGAGCCCGGAGAUGGGCACUGAGACAAGGGCCCAGGCCCUAUGGGGCGCAGCAGGCGCGAAACCUCUGUAAUAGGCGAAAGCUUGACAGGGUUACUCUGAGUGAUUUCCGUUAAGGAGAUCUUUUGGCACCUCUAAAAAUGGUGCAGAAUAAGGGGUGGGCAAGUCUGGUGUCAGCCGCCGCGGUAAUACCAGCACCCCGAGUGGUCGGGACGUUUAUUGGGCCUAAAGCAUCCGUAGCCGGUUCUACAAGUCUUCCGUUAAAUCCACCUGCUUAACAGAUGGGCUGCGGAAGAUACUAUAGAGCUAGGAGGCGGGAGAGGCAAGCGGUACUCGAUGGGUAGGGGUAAAAUCCGUU
rnacentral:rRNA from 1 species